rnacentral:rRNA from 1 species
UACGUAGGUGGCAAGCGUUGUCCGGAUUUAUUGGGCUUAAAGGGUGCGUAGGCGGCUUUGUAAGUCAGUGGUGAAAUAUGGCAGCUCAACUGUCAGGGUGCCAUUGAUACUGCAGAGCUUGAGUACAGAUGAGGUAGGCGGAAUUGACGGUGUAGCGGUGAAAUGCUUAGAUAUCGUCAAGAACACCGAUAGCGAAGGCAGCUUACUGGGCUGUAACUGACGCUGAGGCACGAAAGUGUGGGGAUCAAACAGG